UGUAUUUAAAUGCGAUUUGUAAUCGCAAACUGCAAGAGAAAACUUGUGCUCAACGUUUCUGCAUGGAUACAUUUUUAAACAAUGGCUAUACGAGUGCAACAGAUAAACGUCCUCUAGGGAGCGGGCAAGCCGUCGGUUGAGCUCAGUGAUCACGAUAAUGACGUAACGACCGGUAUCAUUGUCGCAGGUCACGGCGCCCAAGUUCCCGGUGGUGAUCAAGAUAGGGCACGCGCACUCCGGCGUCGCCAAGGUGAAAGUGGACUCCCUGGCUGACUUCCAGGACAUCGCCGGGGUCGUGGCUAUGCUGGGCACCUACUGCACGGUGGAGCCAUACAUCGAUGCAAAAUACGACAUCCACAUACAAAAAAUCGGCACUAACUACAAGGCCUUCAUGCGCAAAUCUAUAUCGGGAAAUUGGAAAACUAAUCAGGGAUCUGCGAUGCUUGAAGCUAUCGGGAUGAACGAUAGAUACAAGAUGUGGAUCGAUGAGGUGCGUAUCUACCUGUCAGGCUUUUAUAU